UUUUAGUUUUAGUUUAGGUAUUAAGAAGUAAGUAAGCAAUAUAGAGUCAUUAGUUGUCAGAAUCAGUUUAAAAUCUAUAGUGUUAGAAAUAGAUAUGUGUAUAAAAUAAUUAGAAAUAAAAAAAAAAUCUUAUUUACUUAGUCCCU